UGAUGCCCCCUUCAGUGGAGCUAAAAUGGAGUGAGUGGUUAUCUUUUCACAUACUCCUGGUGUUCUUCCACAAAUACAAUUUUCACCUCUUGAAUAUUUUCAAGGAUUCUCCAUGCUACACACAGUGAAAUCCAAACUCCCCAUCAGGACCCCAGUCUUCCCAAACCCUCUUUGCAGUUUUCUGCCUCCAUGCUUUUCCUUGGGUCAUCCUCUUCUCUAAUAUAACCUUGUGUAUUAUUCUAGGUUCUCCAGAGAAAGAGCAGAGAGAUAGAGGUAGAGCUAUACACAUAGAGAGAGACAGAUUGAUUUGUUGUAAGAGAUGGCUCACGUGGUUAUGGAGGCUAAGGAGUCCUGGAGUCUGCAGCCAGCAAGCUGGAGACCCAGGACAGCCAAU
rnacentral:lncRNA from 10 species